CACUUUCACACCUACGGGGGGAGGCUGGCACCCAAAGGACGCAGAUGCUGCGAUCACAUCCACCUCUGCAAAUGAAUGACACAUCAAAGGCAUCACACAUGGCUCAGUUUUGAACAUUUUGGAUCAUGUGACAACGGGCAAGUGUGAGUUUGAGACCUGAACAUGCUGAGGCCGCAGAUUUCACUGGCGCAGGGGUGGUGCUGGAGAUGGAGUCUGUGCUGACCAUGAAUCCUAACUGUGCUGAGAACUGGGAGGGUCCCACCUCCAGGAGUCGAGAUAACAUUGGAGCACCUUUCAUAGAGUGAAGGACAUUGAGGACAACAUCAUGCCUUUUGAGAGAACCAGUCAGGUGGCCGCCCGGGUUCUGCAAAUGGUUUGAUGGCUCGACUGACAGAGACCCUGCAAAAAGGAAGAUGAAACAUGAGAUUUCCUUCAAGGUCAGAUUCUGCCACUUCAAUAACUACAUAAUCACCCCAUCAUAUUACAUAGUUGCCGCUGCAUUUGGUUGUCAUUUUAUUUAGUUUUGAAAAAUUGUGGACAGCGAAAACCGCAGUCCAGUAAAAUCACAUGUAACUCUGGGUCUUCAGUCUAACACCUGUAGGUUGAAGUUAAUAGAAUGACGGUUAAGUACCAGUUCUGAUCUCCACUCCUCAUAACCGAUGUGGCCAAACACAGCUUCUCCCUGAGUGACCAUGCUUCUGUUGGGCCGAUCACAAGCAGCUUGUGUUCUGCAGAUGACCAAAAAAAAAAAGUUAAGUUGUCGCAGCUUGUAAAAAUCCUGGAUAUUCAUUCUAAAAAGAGGAAAGCGCUUCCAUUCCCCGGCCUAUCUUGCUAACUCAAGCUGCAAUCCAAAUCCUUUGUACUCAAUGCAUUGCUGAGUAACAGCACACGCACGCAUGCUCAUGCUGUGUCCAGCUGACGUGUGUGUCAACAGAGGUGUCAGCUGGAGAGACCUGCAGGUUGAGCGGCGGUGCAGCCGAACUUUGUGGUGCCAAAGAAAAAAAAAGGCGAAAGCACUCACAUUCGGCUAGCACAUAGCAAGUCACAGCAACAUCACCCGUUCGCCGACAUUACUCACUUCCAACGCCGUUUGCCAUCUUCCUGUCAUCCCCGCACGCCGCGCAUCCUGCCACCGCAAACCCCGGCAGUUAAUACCACUUGUGUUAUCACGACAUGCCGCGUGAGCGCGGAAACAAAACACCGGUUACCUUACAAAAAU